CGUCACAACUGGCACCAGCUGGCAUCCUUGUUCGCUGGCCCAAGAUCGAACGAGCCAUGAAGGCUGAAUGAUGUUCCCAGCCCUGAAAGCAGCUGUAAAUCUGCAAUGGAAUUACUCCAAUGAUGCCAAGAAGUCACAUGACCACAUCACGAAAGCCAUCCCCACCACCAGAUGUGGUAGCUGCCAACUUGCCACUCUUGUGAACACUAUGAGCAGAGGGGCCCACGGUUUAAUGGGCCAUGAAUUAACUUCAUAGUCUUAGAGGUGUCCAAGGCAUUGGGCCCUCCAAUGCUGAGAAGAUCUGCGGUUUCAGGAGAGACUCAGACAAGCCUGGAUGUGCCUGCAGCAGAAAUGGAAGCAUCAAACCAUUAAAUACUAGGGUGCUUACUUUAUGCUGCGCCUUCUGAGGUGACUGGCUGGCUGUUUAUGGCCGAGCUAUCAGACGGUACCUUUUCCUGGAGGUCGAGCUACUUACACUUUCCAGCAGGGUGAAUGUUAAAAGCAAAGGCUCUUGGCCACAUAGGGAACAAUCUGAUGAUUGGGCUGAUACCUCUGAAGACAGGGAGGGCUGCUGACUCACAGGGCUCAACCAGACCGCUGAAUCCAACCCAACCCAGUGUCA